AAAAUAUGAGGAAACAUUGCACUGGGCACUGAAUAAUUUGAUGAGUGACAAUGCAUUAAAGGCGAGCCUCAGAAACUCGCCGUGACUGAUUUA
rnacentral:snoRNA from 1 species